CCUUAGAUGAUCCCAAUCUACUUGGAUAACUGUGGUAAUUCUAGAGCUAAUACAUGCCAACCAGCUCCGACCCGUUACUGGGAAAGAGCGCUUUUAUCAGUUCAAAACCAGUCGGGCCCGUUAAACGGUCCGUCCCUUGGUGACUCUGGAUAACUUUGUGCCGAUCGCAUGGCCUCGAGCCGGCGACGCAUCUUUCAAAUGUCUGCCCUAUCAAAUGACGAUGGUACGUGAUCUGCCUACCAUGUUGGCAACGGGUAGCGGGGAAUCAGGGUUCGAUUCCGGAGAGGGAGCAUGAGAAACGGCUACCACAUCCAAGGAAGGCAGCAGGCGCGCAACUUACCCACUCCUGGCACGGGGAGGUAGUGACGAAAAAUAACAAUACGGAACUCUUUUGAGGCUCCGUAAUUGGAAUGAGUACACUUUAAACCCUUUAACGAGGAUCUAUUGGAGGGCAAGUCUGGUGCCAGCAGCCGCGGUAAUUCCAGCUCCAAUAGCGUAUACUAAAGUUGUUGCGAUUGAAAAGCUCGUAGUUGGAUCUCAGGCAUGGGCGCACGGUCCGCCUCGCGGCGGUCACUGUGUGUAUGUUUCCCAUCCUACGCUUCCCGGUUGUUAGCCCAUGGUGCUCUUCAUUGAGCGUUUUGGGUGGCCGGAACGUUUACUUUGAAGAAAUUAGAGUGUUCAAAGCAGGCACGUCGCCUGAAUAAUGGUGCAUGGAAUAAUGGAAUAGGACCUCGGUUCUAUUUUGCUGGUUUUCGGAACACGAGGUAAUGAUUAAGAGGGACAGACGGGGGCAUCCGUAUUGCGGUGUUAGAGGUGAAAUUCUUGGAUCAUCGCAAGACGAACUACUGCGAAAGCAUUUGCCAAGAAUGUUUUCAUUAGUCAAGAACGAAAGUCAGAGGUUCGAAGACGAUCAGAUACCGUCGUAGUUCUGACCAUAAACGAUGCCAACUAGCGAUCCGCUGGUGUUGCUUCAUCGACUCUGCGGGCAGCUUCCGGGAAACCAAAGUCUAUGGGUUCCGGGGGGAGUAUGGUUGCAAAGCUGAAACUUAAAGGAAUUGACGGAAGGGCACCACCAGGAGUGGAGCCUGCGGCUUAAUUUGACCCAACACGGGGAAACUCACCCGGUCCGGACACUGUAAGGAUUGACAGAUUGAUAGCUCUUUCUUGAUUCGGUGGGUGGUGGUGCAUGGCCGUUCUUAGUUGGUGGAGCGAUUUGUCUGGUUAAUUCCGAUAACGAACGAGACUCUAGCCUACUAAAUAGUUCGCCGAUCCUUUAUGCGUCGGCGUCAACUUCUUAGAGGGACAAGUGGCGUUUAGUC
rnacentral:rRNA from 1 species